rnacentral:miRNA from 1 species
UGGCCAAAAAGUUUGUUUGGGUUUUUCAUACAUACUAUCUUACUGAAAAACUCGAAUGAACUAUUUGGCCA